rnacentral:rRNA from 1 species
AUGGAGUCUCCAGCAGGAGAGGCGCUGAUUCUGCUGGGUCGGCCGGCCGCGCGGUGUGAGUGUGGGGAAGAUGGAGAGACGGCGAGUGGAGGAGUGGCUGCCGGAGAAGGUGAGAAGAAGGAGACGCGGCGCGAGGCCUCUCGGCCCGCGCGCCGGGGGGUCAACAGGGUCGUCUUCGAGCGCUUCACGAAGCGGGCCGUCAAGACGGUGGUGCUGUCGCAGAAAGAGGACAGGGGCUCGAGGAGGGCGACGUGGCGCCGCGCCACCUGCUGCUCGGCCUCGUCGCCGAGGACCGCUCCAUGGGGGGUUCCUCUCCUCCAGGAUCACCGUCGAGCCCGAGCGCGAGGAGUGCCGCAGCCGCCCAGAAGGCGUCCAGGCUCGACACAGACAUGCCCUUCGACAGGAGCUGCAGGUGCGUCUUUGAGGUGGCCGUCGAACUGUCCAGGAACAUUGGCUGCAGCUUCAUCUCCCCCGAGCACCUCACCAUCACGCUCUUCAGUCUCGACCAUCCCACCACCAACAAUCUGGUCAGAAGGUCCAGGAUCUCCUUGUAUAUCAUCUGCAAAGACUACAAGUUCUUCCUCGGCCUGCUGUAAGCCAUGGUUCCCCAUCUUUCUUCUCCCCUCUUGA